rnacentral:rRNA from 1 species
UACGAAGGGGGCUAGCGUUGCUCGGAAUUACUGGGCGUAAAGGGCGCGUAGGCGGACAGUUUAGUCAGAGGUGAAAGCCCAGGGCUCAACCCUGGAAUUGCCUUUGAUACUGGCUGUCUUGAGUACGGGAGAGGUGUGUGGAACUCCGAGUGUAGAGGUGAAAUUCGUAGAUAUUCGCAAGAACACCAGUGGCGAAGGCGGCUCACUGGCCCGGUACUGACGCUGAGGUGCGAAAGCGUGGGGAGCAAACAGG